rnacentral:rRNA from 1 species
UCUCUCAGUACGGUCGGAAAUCGUACGUAGAGUGUAAAGGCAAAAGAGAGCUUGAUUGCAAGACAUACAGGUCGAGCAAGGAUGAAAAUCGGACUUAGUGAUCCGGUGGUUCUGCGGGGAAGGGCCAUCGCUCAACGGAUAAAAGCUACCCUGGGGAUAACAGGCUUAUCUCCCCCAAGAGUCCACAUCGACGGGGAGGUUUGGCACCUCGAUGUCGGCUCAUCACAUCCUGGGGCUG